GAUAGCCAACCUAAAAAGUUUCACCGUAAUAAGCUGGUAAUGAAACUGCCUGAAUCAGAAAAGUAUCAAUUUUCGUUUUGCUAUUUUACUACUCAAAUGUACAGGACGAUGAAGUCCCAAAACAAAAGUAUAGAUCCGAUUCCAAUUGUCGAUAUAUUUAUCCAUUCAAGCCUUCCUAAAUAUAACAUUUGUAAGGCUCAAUUCGAGCUAUUUAUAUUGUGUUAGCUUGAUGGCCAUGCUGCCUGCUGCACGCCCAUGCAAUACGUUAACCCCUAAAUUAAUCACAACCAAUAACAAGUCUAGGGCAAAGCAGGAAACAACCCUUAAAAGGAAUAAUAAACACCGGAGAAAGUAUAGCCUUUACAACUGAAUUAAACAAAUAAUUUGUGCAGCAGAAGAAAUACUACCUUAGGAAUGUUCCGAGUUCUUAACUCCUGCAAAUCCGGCAAGUUGAGAUGUCAGAUUGUGACAUGAUCCGGCAGGUUGAGAUGUGCACCAUACCAUAAACUUCAAGAGUCAUUGAAUUUAAAUCCAUUGAUCUAAGUUAGAUCAAUGGAUUUGCCCAUCUAACAAAUCCGGCAGGUUGAGAUGUCGGAUUGUGACAUGAUAUAAUAAACAAUGAAUCAAUAGAAUAAGAAUGAAAAAGAAACAUACUGGCAUAUUGGAAAUUGCAAAGCUAAGGAGGAGUGUCAGCGAAAUGCAAAGCAGACGUCCAACGAAGAGCAAACUUGACGUGAUCAGCCCAUGUACAAACACUUGACAGAUCAUUAUUCGCAUAAGCAGGCAGCAACUCAGUAUUUAAAAUUUAGCAUACACGUAGGUUUUCAAGACAUGACCAGAAAUAUACUGAUUGUAGUCAAUAUAAAUUUCAAUGAUUCGAUCAAAAUAACUUGUUAUAGGGAAUGUACAUUAUUUGAAAAAUUUCAUUUCUUCUAUGGGCACCGGGUUAAGAGUAACACUUUAAAUUACAUUAACUAUAAAAUCAAUUUGUCACCAAACUUGGUCUUCCUGAAAUGCUAUUUGACACAUCCGGAGUAAAAAAUUCAGAACAUCUCAAACAUAACAGGGCAAAUUUUAUAUGUGUUCAUUGAUGGGCCCUACUGCUACCCAUGGAGUUAAUCUAAAAUUAUCAAACAACAGUAUUAACUGACAUUUGCAGCAGAAGAAAUACUACCUUAGGAAUGUUCCG
rnacentral:lncRNA from 1 species